rnacentral:rRNA from 1 species
UUAGUAACUGCGAGUGAAGUGGAUAAGCUCAAAUUGAAAUCUGGCAGUCUGAUUUUUCAUCUUGGCUGUCCGAAUUGUAAUCUAGAGAAGUGCUACCUGUACUGGACCGUGUAUAAGUCUCCUGGGAUGGAGCAUCAUAGAGGGUGAGAAUCCCGUCUUUGACAUGGACUUGCCAGUGCGUUGUGGUGUACUUUCAAAGAGUCGAGUUGUUUGGGAAUGCAGCUCUAAAUGGGUGGUAAACUCCAUCUAAAGCUAAAUAUUGGCGAGAGACCGAUAGUGAACAAGUACCGUGAGGGAAAGAUGAAAAGUACUUUGGAAAGAGAGUUAAACAGUAUGUGAAAUUGUUGAAAGGGAAACACUUGAUGUCAGUUGUGUUGGCUAGGAUUCAACCCGGCUUGUUUGCUAGGUGAAUUUCCUUGUCCGACAGGCCAACAUCAGUUUUGACUGUCAGAAAAAGGCGGGAGGAAUGUGGCACCUUCGGGUGUGUUAUAGCCUUUGGUCAGAUGUGGCAGUCGAGACUGAGGGAUGCAGCGUGCCGCAAGGCUGGGUUUCGACCACGUUCGCGCUUAGGAUGUUGGCUUAAUGGCAUUAAUUGACCCGUCUUGAAACACGGACCAAGGAGUCUAACAUGCCUGCGAGUAUUUGGGUGUAUAAACCCUUGUGCGCAAUGAAAGUGAAAAUUGAGAUCCCUGUCAUGGGGAGCAUUGAUGCCCGGACUUGAGCUUUUAGCRAUGGAUCUGCGGUCAAGCAUGCAUGUUGGGACCCGAAAGAUGGUGAACUAUGCCUGAAUAGGGCAAAGCCAGAGGAAACUCUGGUGGAGGCUCGUAGCGAUUCUGACGUGCAAUCGAUCGUCCAAUUUGGGUAU